CACAGUAUGGCUACCUGCCACAGGAAAGCUUCAAGCGAGAUGCUUCAUUAACCUCCUGUGACACACAAUUUACUGCCAAGGUUUUCAGAGAUUACUAAAUACAGGCAGCCUGGAUUUCUUUUUUUCUUGUGUGGAAUGGAUCAGAUGGAAACCAAGUUGAGAAGGAACAAUGGAAUAACUAAAUGGGUUCUUGAGCGUCCUACAAAAUACCGGGGCAUAGCCAAACAGGUGUGUUAUUCAAAAGGAAAGGAGCAGCACAAGGCUGCAGUCAAUGUCAUUGCUAAGUUUUUAAUCCAGAAAAAGGGAGCCUUCCUUUCAACCAGCAAAAAGGAGGAGGCAGAUGUGGUCACUAUUUCAAUCAGA